rfam:Populus trichocarpa scaffold_2_contig_202, whole genome shotgun sequence.
UCUAGAACUCGAGAUAUGGGCUGAACACUGAACAAUGUCUGGGCUGCAGGAUAGAUUCUGACUUCUCCGUUGUUGCUAUAAUUUGAACUUGAAAACGACCUUUUUGAAUCUUGAAAUCUUCAUGAAAGUUUUAGGCCUAUGUCUUAGCUUUCCAUC